AGAAUUAGGUCAUAUAAUUAGACCAGACACAUGGGAUGAAAGCUUACAAUAUAUAAACCACUGUUCGUUAAAUGCUAGACACUCCUUGAUACAAUUUAAAAUACUAUAUAGAUUACAUUACUCGAAGACAAAAUGAAAUGGGAUUUUUCC